GGAUCCGUGUUGUAGCGGUUAUCACGUCUACAUUAUACACAGGAGGUCCCCGGUUCGAUCCCGGGCGGAACCU